rnacentral:tRNA from 1 species
GCCUGGGUAGCUCAGUCGGUUGAGCGGCUGACUUCAGCUCAGGUCAUGAUCUCGAGGUUUGUGGGUUUGAGCCCUGCGUCGGGCU